GCCAGCUGCUUCAGCAUUGGCAGGGGCAAACUCCACUCACUGGAACCUGUGGGCGCUCAACCCUUCCCGGGAAGGGGCACGCAGGUGAGCGCUUUUGGGUGUCAGCUGGAACAAAACUCUGUGAGCCCCACGGAAGCAUCUAGCGGGGAGUACCAAUGACCUCCAAAGCCCUAGACAGCAAGUGUUACAGUGGGAGGCACCUGGUGGAAGGUAAUUGAAUCAUACGGGCGGCUUUUUCCUGUGCUGUUCUCGUGAUAGUGAGUAAGUAUCACGAGAUCUGACGGUUUUAUAAAGCGUAGUUUUCCCUGUACAAGCUCUCGCCUGCCGCCAUGUAAACGUUCUUUGCUCCUGCUUCGUCUUCUGCCGUGAUUGUGAGGCCUCCCCAGCCAUGUGGAACUACUCAUCACUCACUGCAGAUGUUACUUUAAGACAUUCUGGAGCAGCGUCAUGUGCAGGUGCGUAGUGCCUCCGCCCAUCUCUCUCUUGCUCCUGGUCUCAUCGUGACGGGCCUGGUCCUGCCUCACUUUAUGCCACGACUAAGAGCUCCCUGAGGCCUCUCCAGAAGCAGAUAUCACUAUGCUUCCUACACAGCCUGCAGAACCUUCUCUUGCCUGCCACCAUGUAAGAUAUGCUUUUACUCUUCCGCCUUCCACCGUGACUGUGAGGCCUCCCCAGCCAUGUGAAACUGCCUUUGAGCUUAUACUGAAUUAUACCACCAGCUUUCCUAGGUCUUGAAGCUUACAGACAGCAGAUCUUGGGACUUCUCAGGCACCAUAAUCAAUCAUAGAUAAAUGAUCCAAUGAUUCGGAACUUGAAAAGUGGUAGCUUUAUGAAUUCUCCUUAAGAAGAAACCUGUGCCCUGAUCUUGCCUACUCACCCAAAGGCACUGUGAGAUAGCAUCAAAGGAACAGCUAGUAAGAGACACAGAGCCAGAAAUCAGGGAAGUAAAAUACACUUGACAUCUACGUUCGGAAAGAAAUUUUAGGAGGCAGAAGCAAAUGGAUCAGAAGCUGCUUAUAUUUUUGCAAGAUUACCAAAGAAACCAUUGGUGGAGAAAGUUCUGUGACCAACUUGUCUGAGUCUAGUAAGAUUGAACGCUCACACACAAGUUUCAUGAAGUGGGUUUGAUACUUACAGAUAAGCAGCAAGGACCAACAGAAGCUGAUGAUCUAUGGUGAACUUUUUCCCAAGGCUCCGGAAAGCUGCCUAAAGUAGAUGGAGUCUUCUCUGUGUGUGCCCCACUGGUCCUGCAGUUGAAGGAUCCGGUAAAGCAGCCUGCCCUUGGUUUUAUACUCCAGAGGAACGUGAUUCGCUGGACUAAAGCAUUGAAGUGCAUCCUGUUUCCGGGGGGCACUGGAACAGAGCCUGGUCUGUUCUAGCCAGUCCCUUUCUAUCUCAGGAUAACAUUCUACAGUUAUUCUUGAGAACUAUAAUCAAAUAAGCAGGGAGAACUGGGUAAGUCCAAGGCUUAUCUAUACAAGCCUUUAAAUAUUCAAGACCAAAAAAAAAAAAAAAAAAAAAAAAAAAAGCCUUGGUUCUUAUCUUUCUUUCAGGAAAGCAGAGGCUCAUUGUGGAACCCUCAAGGAGCAUGGGGUCGUCUUCAUCCCUCAGUUUAUAAAUGGCCAAGGAGAGUAAUGCAACAAAAACUUCUCAGAGUUAAAAGCCAGAGUUCCUAAAGAACCGUGGACAAAGGGUUCUGUCUAGUGGGCAGAAUUCAUCCAGCGAAGGUGCUUACUGCACUCCCAGCAUGUGCUUGGGAACUUUAUUAAAAUUCCUUCCUAUUGAGAUUUAAAUUGCUGUCCAGAAUUAUACAAUAUAAUGAAUGGGGGCAUUCAUUAUGUGUAUUCUAUGCCUUCUCCAUCAUUGCAUAUUCAGUCCUCGUGCUAGAGAGAGGCAGAUAAUCUACCUUUUAAAUUGAUAGGUCUCCUAACUACAGAGGGUCACAUCUGGAUCUGAUGGCACCUACAGAACUUGGACUCUGAGCGACAAUCAGUGACCAGGAAAUUUGGAACCCAGGUUUUCCCAACCUACAUCUACAAAAUGGAAUGGGUCUGAUUCGCAAGUUUUCAGAGAAAGAAGCCAACCUUAAUCAGACUGUGAUAUGAUGAGGAAAUAAAACUUGCUGUGCUAAUCAACUGAUACUGGGAAGCAUGUUUAUUAUAAUAACAUAGUCUAUGCUUAACUUUUCUAAGAAACUAAUGAUCUGGAAUAUCGAUAAAAAGAAAAAAGAAAGAAAGCAAAAGGACAGAAAGUUUUAGUGAGAAUAUGUCACUAAAAGAAAAAUGCAAAAAUCUCCAGGCUGGAAUCCAAUCAAUAGCAUGCCUUUCACUGCCUGAUUCAGAACAUCACAAGAAUAAAACAGGAGUUAAGCAAAAGGAAGAUUAAAUUAACAUUCUAAUGUUGAUAAAGGAGAUAGUGUGUAAUACGGCAAUAAUGAGAUUCCCAUGACAGCACGUCAAUAUUGAAUAUAAAUCCAACCACAGCCAUUGGCAUCACUUACCAACCCCACAGCAGGCCACCUUCCCUGAGGCAGAGACUGUAAUAGCUUUUGAGGCACAGAAAGUGUGACUCCAGCAAUCGAGCAGGUUUAGCAAAAGAGAAUAGGAUUCCUACAUUCUCAGUUCAUCUCUACAAACUCACGUAUUAAAACAAUCAUUCAGUUCUGGGACAAGGUCCACCUGUAUUCAUUUAGUGAAGUCCCUCCACAUAUUUGCUGUUACAAUAUUAAUUUUAAAGAAUGAAGUUAUAUUUACAUGUGUUUUUCAAACAUUUAGCUAAUGGUGAUAGAUGUGUUUUCACUGAGAUCAUCAAUAUAUAUCUUAAAUACAUUGCCCCAAAUAAAGCAUUAUUUUACAGAAAAUAUAGAGAUGUUUUCAUGUAAAUAAAUGCAAGUCACAACUUAUAUAAUUAUAUAUUUUGUUUAAUAAUUAAACCAUUGGGAAUUUAUGGAUCACAUAAUUCAAAUUCCUCUGCAUGGUCAGGAGAAGCUGUGUCCUGUCCUUCCUUACCUUGGUUUUUUCUAUUCUGCCGCAUGCCAAAUGCACUACUCCUGACUCAAGGCUUUAUAAGUCUUUUCCUGGAAUAGCCCAGCCAUAGUCACAUGCCUCAUCUUUCCCUUCAUUGUAGGCCUGAAUUACUGCCUUUACUGCACCUAUUUAAAAUAUUCUCUUGUUAUUCUCUAUCUACUUACCUGAGUUUAUUUUUCUUGAUGACAUUUUUAAGAUCAGACAUUAUACACUAUUUUAUUAUUUGUUUUUUAUUAAUCAUUAGAUUAAUAAUCCACAAAGGCAGGAAACUUGUUUUGUUUGCCUUUCUAUCCCCAGAAUUUAUAUAGCAGCUACUAUUGUAAAGUAGAUGCAUAAUAGCAUAAAUGAAUGAAUAAGUAGUUGAAUGCAUGAACAAAGGAAUGAGAAAAAAAAUUCUAGUUAACAUUUUAUUAAUGCUAUCUUCUGAAUGUGGGUGUGUGUGUAUGCAUAUUUCUUGUUUUCCGGGCAUUAUUUCGUCAUGCAGUCAGGACAUAUGUAAAAUACUCCACUUUGUUUAGGGUGAUAUAGUGCUUCAGAGUGUUAAUUAAAUUUAGAUAGACCCAUGUUCAAACUUCAGCCAUACAACUUAUUAUCAAUCACAUGAUAUUGGCUGAGAAAUAGUCUCCAAAUUUACUUAUGUCUUUAAUGAUGAGAAAAGGCUCAAUAGACAUUCUCUUUUAUCAGUGUUAUUGUGAAUAAAGAGACUUGACCAUAGAAAUGUACCUACUUUAGAGAAAUGGAAUCUAUCACUAAUUUUUUCUUGAAGACAGCUGAUGAAGCUUACUCUGUAAUUAAAUAGAAGGCAGUGUAUUUUAACAUUUAACUUUUCCUCACUCUAAUUUUUUGGAUAGAACCAUAUGUUGAUAUUCAUUCUUAAACUCAUUGUAAUUUAAAUUCUAAUAUCCCUGGCUUAAAUAUAAGAAAUGAUUCAAGACAUUAUAAUUUUGUUAUAGAGACAAUAAAAAUAUCUGCAAUAGUAAUUCGUUGUAUGUAUAUGUAAUAAUUUUUAUUUACCAUCAUAAUAUCCAGUGUUUUGCCUCAUGACAUAGUGCAGGCUUGGCUUUUUUUAUUAAUAGAUUUUUUUUAGACUGGUUGUAGUUCACAACAAAAUUUACCCAAAGCUGUGUAAAAUACCCAUAAAUUACCCUGCCUAGACAAAUACAUAGCCUUUUCUAUCUCCCACUAGAGUGGUACAUUUUGUUACAAUUUUUGAACUUGCAUUUACUCAUCAUUAUCAGACAAAUUUCACGUUUCCAAACUGCAUUUAAACAAAUGUAGCUCUCAUUUUAGUUUCAUGCGGAGUAGAUUCACUGCGCUAAAAAUCCUCUGUGCUCUGCCUAUUUAUCCCUCCCUCUCUCUAACAUUUGGCAACCAUUCAUCUUUUUACUGCCCCAUCAUAUGGCCUUUUUGAGAAUGUCAUAUGGUUGGAAUCAUACAGUGGAUUUUCUGUUCACUUAGUAACAAGCAUUUAAGUUUCUGCCAUGUCUUUAUAGCUCAUUUCUUUUUAGAUCUAUAUAAUAUUCCAUUGUUUGGAUGUUCCUCAGUUUAUGUAUCCGUUCACCUACUGAAGAACAUCUUGGUUGCUUCCAAGUUUUGGUCAUUAUGAAUAAAACUGCUAUAAACAUCCUUCUGCAGCUUUUUAUGUGGACAUAAGUUUUUAGCUCCUUUGGGUAAAUACCAAGUAGCACGAUUGCAGAACCAUAUGGUAAGUGCUAUAGUUUGAAUAUACUGUUUGUACCCACCAAAUCUCAUGCUAAAAUUUGAUUCCAAUGUUAGAGGUCGGCUAAAUGGGCGGCAUUUGAGUGACAGUGGCAGAUUCCUCAUGAAUAGAUUAAUGCCCUCCUUCAGGCGUGAGUUCUUACUCUUAGUUCCCAGGACAGCUGAUUGUUAAACAAGAAACUGGCACCUUAUCCUCUUUCUCUCUCUUGCUUCCUUUCUCACCGUGUAAUCUCUGCACAUUCCAGUUCCUCUUUGCCUUCUACCAUGAGUGGAAACAGCUGGAGGCUCUUACAAGAUACCUAAUCUUGAACUUUUUCAGACAUCAGAAACAUAAUGCAAAUAAACUUGAUCUUGGUAAAUUACCUAGCCUUCGGUAUUUCUUUAUAGCAACACAAAACAGACUAAGACAAAGGAUGUUUAGUUUUGUAAGAAAUUGCCAAACAAAAUGUCUUCCUAAAUUGCUGUACCAUUUUUCAUUCCCACCAGUAAUGAACAUAGUUUCCUGUAUUUCCACAUACUUGACAGCAUUUGGUAUUUCCACAUCCUUAACAGCUUUUGGUAUCGUCAGUGUUCUGAAAUUGGACAGUUCUAAUAUGUGUGUAGUAGUCUCACAUUGUUUUAAUUUGCAUUUCCCUGAUGACAUAAGAUAUAAAACAUCUUUUCAUAUGUUAUUUUCCAUCUGCAUAUCUUCUUUGGUGAAGUGUCUGUUAAGGUCUUUGGCCCACUUUUGCAUCAAAUUGUUUGCUUUUUUUAUGGUUGAGUUUUGAAGUGUUACUCAUCUUACUUGGAUAACAGUGCUUUAUCAGAUGUGUCUUUUGCAAAUAUUUUCUCCCAGUCGGUGACUUUUCUUUUCAUUAUAUUGAAAGUAUCUUUUGCAAUGCAGGAUUUUAAUUUUAUUCAAGUCUAGCUUACCAGUUCUUGUUUUUUUAUGAAUAAUAUCCUUGGUAUUAUAUCUAAAAUGUCAUCAGCAAACCGAAGGUCAUUUAGAUUUUAUUCUAUGUGAUUUUCUAGACAUUUCUAUAGCUUUAUAUUCUACAUGUAUCUGUGAUUCAUAAGUUUACUUUUCUAAACAGCAAAAGGACUGCAUCUAGAUUUAUUUAUUUAUUAAUUUUUUGCAUGUGAAUCUACUGUUGUUUCAGCACCACUUGUUGAAAAGACUAUCUUUUCUCCAUUGAAAUGCAUUGGUUUGAUUGUUGAUACAGUUGAGAUUUUUAUUCCUUUCAAAUCUCACAUUGAAAUUUGAUCACCAAUUUCAGAGGUGGUGACUGAAGGGAAGUGUUUGGGCAAUGGAAGCAGAUCCCUCAUACACGGCUUGGUUCCAUCAUUGUGAUAAUGAAUUUCUUGUUGUACUAUUAGUUCCCACAAGAGCAGAUUUUUAAAAAGAGCCUAGCAUCUCCCUCCCCUCUCUCUUCAUUACCCCCUUGCCAUAUGAUGCCUGCUCUCCUUCGGCUUCCACCACAAGCAGAAGCUUCCUGAAGCUCUCAUCAGAAGCAGAUGCUGGUUCCAUGCUUCUUGUACAGCCUGCAGAACUGUGAAUUCCAUUGACAUGGUUUGGCCCUGUAUCCCCACCCAAAUCUUAUCUUGAAUUAUACUCCCAUAAUUCCCACGUGUUGUGGAGGGACCCAGUGGAAGAUAACUAAAUCACGGGGGCAGUUUCUCUCACACUGUUCUCCUGGUAGUGGAUAAGUCUCACAAGAUCUGAUGGUUUGAUAAGGGGAAACCCGUUUCACUUGGCUCUCAUCCCCUCUCUUGCCCGCUGCCAUGUAAGAUGUGCCUUUCACCUUCCACUGUGAUUGUGAGGCCUCCUGAGCCACGUGGAACUGAAAGUCCAAUUAAACCUCUUUCUUUAGUAAAUUGCCAAUUCUUGGGUAUGUUUUUAUCAGCAGCAUGAAAAUAGACUAAUACACAAAUAAAUCUCUUUUUUAAGAUAAGUUAGUCUCAGGAAUUCCUUUAGAGCAAUGCAGAGAUUGCAACACUUGUCAAAGAUUAGUUGACUGUAUUCGUGUAGGUGUAAUUCUAGGAUUUCUAGUCUGUUCUAUUGAUCCAUUUGUCUGUUUUUGCCAGUACCGCAUUGUCUUGCUACUGUAUCUCUAUAGUAAGUCUUGAAGUCAGGUAGCAUCAGUCUUCAACUUUGUUCUUCUCUUUUAUUAUUAUGUUGCAUAUCUUGGGUCUUAUGUCUCUCCAUAGAAACUUCAGAAUCAAUUUGCCAAUAUCCACAAAAAAAACUUUCUGGUGUUGCAAUGGGUAUUGCAUUCUAUUAUAGCUAUAGAUUAAGAUGGAAAGACCUGACAUCUGGAUACCUUGACACUAGUGAUUCUUUACAUUCAUAAAUAUAGAAUGUAAUUGACAGAGAGUAUUGAAAUCUCCAAGUAAACUAGUAGAUUCAUCUAUUUCCCACGUGUUGUGGAGGGACCCAGUGGAAGAUAGUUCUAUAGGAUUUUGCCUCAUAUUUUGAUGCUUUAUUGCUAGGCUUAUACGUGUUAAACUGUUAUUUUUUGGAUAAUUGAAUAUUUUGUCAUAUGUAACACCAUUUUUAUCCCUGAAAACUUUUCUUCUUCUAUCUGAAAUUAAUAUAACUACGCUCAAUUUAUUUUUAUUGGUUUUAGCAUCAUACAUCUUUACUUCCCCAUAUACUUUUUAUUCUAUAUGUAUCUUUAUAUAUAAAGUAAGCUUCUUCUAAACAAC
rnacentral:lncRNA from 10 species